rnacentral:rRNA from 1 species
CAAUAGCGUAUAUUAAAGUUGUUGCAGUUAAAAAGCUCGUAGUUGGAUUUCUGGUGGGAGCGAUCGGUCUGGCGCUUAGCGCGAGUACUUGCAUCGUCUCCGGCCAUCCUUGGGGAGAGUCUGUCUGGCAUUAGGUUGUCGGGCAGAGGAUCCUCAUCGUUUACUGUGAAAAAAUUAGAGUGUUCAAAGCAGGCUUAUGCCGUUGAAUAUAUUAGCAUGGAAUAAUAAGAUAGGACUUUGGUACUAUUUUGUUGGUUUGCGCACCAAAGUAAUGAUUAAUAGGGACAGUUGGGGGUAUUCGUAUUCCGUUGUCAGAGGUGAAAUUCUUGGAUUUACGGAGGACGAACUACUGCGAAAGCAUUUACCAAGGAUGUUUUCAUUAA